AACGAACGCUGGCGGCAUGCCUAACACAUGCAAGUCGAACGAGACCUUCGGGUCUAGUGGCGCACGGGUGCGUAACGCGUGGGAAUCUGCCCUUGGGUUCGGAAUAACAGCGAGAAAUUGCUGCUAAUACCGGAUGAUGACGUAAGUCCAAAGAUUUAUCGCCCAAGGAUGAGCCCGCGUAGGAUUAGCUAGUUGGUGAGGUAAAGGCUCACUAAGGCGACGAUCCUUAGCUGGUCUGAGAGGAUGAUCAGCCACACUGGGACUGAGACACGGCCCAGACUCCUACGGGAGGCAGCAGUGGGGAAUAUUGGACAAUGGGCGAAAGCCUGAUCCAGCAAUGCCGCGUGAGUGAUGAAGGCCUUAGGGUUGUAAAGCUCUUUUACCCGGGAUGAUAAUGACAGUACCGGGAGAAUAAGCUCCGGCUAACUCCGUGCCAGCAGCCGCGGUAU
rnacentral:rRNA from 1 species